rnacentral:lncRNA from 1 species
AAUAUUUCUGUAUCUUGAUUAUUGGUGACAUUUAAAAAAAAAAAGAACAAAAAGAACAGAAGUUUCUAUUCUCCUUGUGCUCUAUAACUCUCUUAUCUGAGGGCAUAAUGACAUUGCUCUAUUUGUGAAACAGGUGAUGUACACUCAUACAUAACUAUGAAAAUUAUAUUAUCAUACUUAAAAGGUUUAUCCUAUGUCAUUCACAUGUUGGGUAGAAGGAUAGCAAAUAAAGAUAUAUUUCUUAGAAGUAGAUCUCAGAUCCUAUUUAUUUUAUACUUCAUGGUAGAUUUCAUCUUUAGCACUUACAGGUUUUUAUUCAACAUUUUCAACACAAUAUUUUUCCUUAAAUAUUU